rnacentral:tRNA from 8 species
AAAAUCCGUUGGCUUUAGUGACCGUGAGGGUUCAAGUCCCUCUACCCCCA